ACGCUCGACACCUACGGGGGGCAGCAGUGGGGAAUAUUGCACAAUGGGGGAAACCCUGAUGCAGCGACGCCGCGUGAAGGAAGAAGUAUCUCGGUAUGUAAACUUCUAUCAGCAGGGAAGAAAAUGACGGUACCUGACUAAGAAGCCCCGGCUAACUACGUGCCAGCAGCCGACGGUAAUCUGAGGCGGGCUGGCAAGGC
rnacentral:rRNA from 1 species